CUGAUGCUGCUGUGUAUGAGGUUCUGUGGUCACGUAGGGCUCAGUGUGAGGGUCCAGAGCAGCAGCCGUGGGGACCCAGCCCCUCCAAACCCCACCACCACUCAACACUCCUACAGAGGGUGGGCAGCAUCCAGCCAGGGCCCAGAGAGGGAGGAUGUGGGGACUGAUUUCACAGGUCUUUUUUAACCUCUUGUUUUGUUUUGGGGUAGAGCCAGUUAACAGUGUUGUGAUAGUUUCAGGUGGACAGGAAAGGACUCAGCCAUGCAUGCACAUGUAUCCAUUCUUUUCCAAACUCCCCUCCCAUCCAGGCUUCCACAUAAAAUUGGGCAGAGUCCCAUGUGCUAUAAAGAAGGACCUUGCUAGUUAUCCAUUUUAAAUACAGCAGUGUGUACGUGUCCAUCCCGAGUUUCCUAACUAACUUUCCCCCAUCUUUUCCCCUGGUAACCAUAAGCUCCUUCUCUAAGGCUCACAGGCCUCUCUUGAUCUCAGAUCCAGAGUAAGGACCCGAAGCCUCAAAACAGGCCUUUGUGGAAAGCAGAUCAACAGUGUAGUGAGUGGCCAGGAAGGUCAUGGGACCAUAACAAGCCAAAGUCAAGGUAAUGAUUCAUAUGCAAAUAAACUGAAAACUGAAAGAAUGGAAUACUGAAUAUACUGGAACAGUAUCUGAUCCAAAGAAAAACCCCUACUUUAGUUCCUCCUUUACUCAUACAAACUAACUGCAGGAGUGUGAUCAAGAUGGCGUAGUAGAAGGAUGUGAAGCCUUACUUCUCUCAGAGAUACAUCAAAAACUUCUUCUGCGUGUGGAGCAAGUCCCAUAGAAUACCUACUGGAUGCUGCUGGAAGACCUCAGACUGCCGGAAGAGCAAUAAAAUCUCCACGUAAGCAAGUAGGAAAAAAGAAAAUGAGAAAGGGAUCAGGACGGGACCUGAGCCCCAGGAAGGGGCUAUGAGAGAGGAAAGGUUCCUUGCUCUGGGAAGCCCCCUCGCCAGCAGGGAGGUUGGCCAGGACGGAGGGGAGCUUCAGAGCCUCAGAAGAGAACUGCAGCAGCCAGAGCAGAGGGGAAGCUGCACAGGCAGUCAGUGCUGCCGCCCUGCACGCCCCAGCCUGAGACAUGCACCCACAGGUGCAGGAUGGGGCUGGGAGCUGGAACUCAGGCUUCAGACAUCAGACCAGGGAGAGGACUGGGGAUGGCCAUGCAAAAACAGCCUAGGCUGGCUGGAAUCUGACUGCAAGCACAACUGAGGGUGUGCGUGGAGGAAGUCCCAGCUGCCUUAGAGGCCAGGCGUCAUUGUUUGAGGGGUGCAUGAGGGAAGAGGCGGGACCCAAAUUCCUUCCCUGUGCUCGUGCUCACAGAGGGCAGGACACCACCUGCACUGGCUCCAGGUCUGGGUGCAAGCCACCGUCACCCACCUUCCUUGCAGACUCCAGGGUAGUCCCGAGCCACCACCACCCCUAUCACAUGUUCAGGGCACACCUGAGCCACCACCCCUGCCAAGAACCCUAGCACCAGGCACCAGCCACCACAUCUGCACACCCCUAUCAAGCAGAUAAUGACCAAAACACACUGAGGAAGGAGGGAACAAGCAUCAAUACUAAAAAAAAGCCCUUAAACCCACACAAGCUCCUUAGGGUCACCCCCACAUAUCAACAGUCCUCCAAGACCACAGUAGGUAACUGCUUCCCCUAAACUCACAGAGUGAGAGAAAUGUAAGUAAAAUUAAGAAGCAAAGGAGCCACUCCCAGAUAAUAGAUCAAGAGAAUUCCCCUGAAAGAACAAUGAAACAGACCUCUUUAUUCUAAUAGACACUGAUUUCCAAAAGGAGAUAAUGAAAAUACUGAAGGAAUUAAGAAAGGCUAUCAACAGAAAUGCAAAGUACUUUAAAAAGGAACUAAAAAAUACAGAGAGAAACCAAGAAAAAUUAGCAAACUCAUUUGCAGAGAGCAAAGCUGAGCUAAAAGCAAUAAACAGCAGAAUGGAUAACACAGAAGAAAGAAUAAAUGGUCUGGAUGAUAGAAUAAUGGAAAUUAGCAAUUGGUAAUUGGGAUAGCAGUUACAAUUGGGAUAUCCCAAUUGGGAUAGCAGACAGAAAGCCAAAUUAAAAUAAAUAAAAGCAAUACGAGACCUAUGUGAUAACAAAAGCCAGCCAAUCUAUAUGUAACAUGGAUUCCAGAAAAGGAAGAAUAAGAAAAGGGGAUUGAAAAUGUAUUUGAAGAAAUUAUGGCUGAAAACUUCCCAAACCUAACAAAGAAGAGAUAUUCAUGUACAGAAUGCACAGAGGGUUCCCAAACAAGCUAAACUCAAACAGACCACACCAAGACAUAUUAUUAUAAAAAUGACA
ensembl:lncRNA